rnacentral:rRNA from 1 species
ACGCACGCUGGCGGCGUGCUUCACACAUGCAAGUCGAACGGUGAACCUGCUUCGGUGGGGGAUCAGUGGCGAACGGGUGAGUAACACGUGGGCAACCUGCCCUCAGCUCUGGGAUAACUCCAAGAAAUUGGGGCUAAUACUGGAUAUGACCGCUGACCGCAUGGUCUGGUGGUGGAAAGAUUUAUCGGCUGGGGAUGGGCCCGCGGCCUAUCAGCUUGUUGGUGGGGUAGUGGCCUACCAAGGCGACGACGGGUAGCCGGCCUGAGAGGGCGACCGGCCACACUGGGACUGAGACACGGCCCAGACUCCUACGGGAGGCAGCAGUGGGGAAUAUUGCGCAAUGGGCGAAAGCCUGACGCAGCGACGCCGCGUGGGGGAUGACGGCCUUCGGGUUGUAAACCUCUUUCAGCAGGGACGAAGCGAAAGUGACGGUACCUGCAGAAGAAGCACCGGCCAACUACGUG